GAACUCACCUUGGCAGCACAUAAGAUUGGAAUGAAUCAGAGAUCAAUAUGGCCCCUGUGCAAAGAUGACAUGCAAAUGCAUGAAACAUUCCGCACAUUU
ensembl:snRNA U6 U6 spliceosomal RNA